rnacentral:lncRNA from 1 species
AUCCUGCCGGGGAAAAUGUGAAGGAAACUUACGAGAUAAAUAUCAAAGCACAAAGGUUUCACCAUUCUUUAGUUCUUAAACUGGAAGGAGCUCAUGGCUCUCGCAAUGAACCGAGAGCCGGGAAGCCUGACGACCGAGACAGAACGAGCCAAAGAGAUACUCUGCUCCAUCCUCCUGGGAAACAAGUCAGUGAUCAACCACAAGGAACUCAAGCUGAGAACACACCUGGGACAAGGAGCUUACGGAACCGUGUACGAAGCAAUGUGGCUCGGUCACAAGUUCACGGUGAAAGUCUUCCCUCAAGGUGACACCAGCUUUGCCAAAGAGCUCGCGGUUCUCGGAGCUCACAAGCAUCCCAACGUGUUGCACAUUGCCGGCCAUUCUUUCGAUGGAGAGAAGCAGCAGUACUCGCUGGUGAUGGAGAAGAUGGACAUGGACCUGGCAAACUACCUCCUCAAGAAGAACUCCCUCUCGUUGCUGUCGAUCGUGGCAGUGAUGCUCCAAGUCACUACUAAUGAAUGGGAAUCAAAAUUGUGACCAUCGUCUCCCGCUACUGUCAUCAAGGGCCUAAAACAUACACCAAUUUUCUUGUCUGAUUAAAGUAUGAUUCCCAAACCAAAAAAAAAUGCCUUAGGACUUAGAAUUAUUCAACAAGAAAAGUCCAGACAAAAAAAAAAUGCCUUAGGACUUAGAAUUAUUCAAAAAGAAAAGUCCACGGUAGACUUUUCCCACGCUAUACCUUUACAAGAAUGGUGCGGUGCUGGUAGUGAUCACCAACGGGCAUGGCAGCAGCGACUUUGCUCGAGGCAAUUCGAAUCGUGGACAAGCUUGGCACAAUAUCCACUUCCAGCAAGGUCUGUAGAAACCAACAUAGGAUCCUCAUCGCGGCGGUCGGCUAUGUCCGAGACUACCUCAAGCAAAUCCAGGAUCUCAACUUCGCGAGCAACGGGCCAGCCUUCGUGUGGGACGAAACCGUGGCUGUCCUUAACAGAGGCCUCCAUCUCCUCAAGUCGUGCCAAGAAGGCAAUUGGAUCACGCGGAGCCUCCUGUUCGAGGAAAGCUGCAAUGAGUUUCAGAGCAUUUAUCCCGAGAUCUACAACUGCGUCGAGCUCGUCAGCGUCUAUCUCUUUCAGCUGGCACCGUCCACCUCGCACAGAUCCAGGAUUGCCGAGGCUUACAACUCGUGCCUCAUGAGGCAGAACUCGAGCAGCAUGCUGGAAGAAGCCGAAAGGAACGAUCGGAAGGAGCUCAUGACUCUCGCAAUGAGCCAAGAGCCGGGAAGCCUGACGACUGAGACAGAACGAGCCAAAGAGAUACUCUGCUCCAUGCUCCUGGGAAACAAGUCAGUGAUUAACCACAAGGAACUCAAGCUGACAACACACCUGGGACAAGGAGCUUACGGAACCGUGUACGAAGCAAUCUGGCUCGGUCACAAGUUUGCAGUGAAAGUCUUCCCUCAAGGUGACACCAG